rnacentral:rRNA from 1 species
AGCGAACGCUGGCGGCAGGCCUAAUACAUGCAAGUCGAGCGCACCUUCGGGUGAGCGGCGGACGGGUGAGUAACGCGUGGGAACGUGCCCUUUGGUUCGGAACAACACAGGGAAACUUGUGCUAAUACCGAAUGUGCCCUUCGGGGGAAAGAUUUAUCGCCAUUGGAGCGGCCCGCGUUGGAUUAGCUAGUUGGUGGGGUAAAGGCCCACCAAGGCGACGAUCCAUAGCUGGUCUGAGAGGAUGAUCAGCCACACUGGGACUGAGACACGGCCCAGACUCCUACGGGAGGCAGCAGUAGGGAAUCUUGCGCAAUGGGCGAAAGCCUGACGCAGCCAUGCCGCGUGAAUGAUGAAGGUCUUAGGAUUGUAAAAUUCUUUCACCGGGGAAGAUAAUGACGGUACCCGGAGAAGAAGCCCCGGCUAACUUCGUGCCAGCAGCCGCGGUAAUACGAAGGGGGCUAGCGUUGCUCGGAAUUACUGGGCGUAAAGGGCGCGUAGGCGGACAGUUUAGUCAGAGGUGAAAGCCCAGGGCUCAACCUUGGAACUGCCUUUGAUACUGGCUGUCUUGAGUUCGGGAGAGGUGAGUGGAAUGCCGAGUGUAGAGGUGAAAUUCGUAAAUAUUCGGCGGAACACCAGUGGCGAAGGCGACUCACUGGCCCGAUACUGACGCUGAGGCGCGAAAGCGUGGGGAGCAAACAGG